UCUCGUCUCUUCCGGCAAGGUUUGGAGACAGCAGACUCCUGCAGCCAGACCCACUCAUGUGUGGGAGCUGAGGCCUGGUUGGGCCUACGGGACCUGUUGUUUCUGCGGAUCCGGGGUCUGAUAGUGUGGCGGUGGCGUUUGGCGCGAUUGUGCCAUCUCAAGGAAAGUAUUAAGUGAAAGGUUCCAAUGCACAAUGAUGUUAUUGAGCAACACUGAACUCCAUACUAAGCCCCUAGGAGAGCCUGGGAGAAGAUAGACAGAAAUCAAGAAAAAAAGAGGAGCCACGUGACAGAAGAGGAACCCCAUCUGUUAAAAAAAGGCAGCUGAGACUGAAGCACGAGCUGCUAUGGGCCCUUACUUACAUCCCAGGGAUCUCAGGGAGACUGGAAACAAGAAUCAAAUAAUUUGAUAGAAAAAUCUGGCAAAGUAGAGUAGGUGCAUGUUGACCACCCCUUCUCCAGGAGAUUGACCAGACUCAAGAAUUAGUGUAGAGUUUUGUAUGGUGGAAGGAUUAGGUUUUUAUAGUGGCCUUGCUGAUCUGAAUUGUCUGUACAAUGUACAAAAUACAAAGUAUAUAUGUAGAAUAUGUUUUUAAAAAAGUGAAAGGAUAUGCCUGAAAGACUUUUUUUUUCAGUGUAAUGGAAGAGAUUAAUGCUGAGUUAGUUUUUAAAAUGGAUUUAAACACAGAAACAUAACAAUUUCUAUACUAGAUCACACCCUUAAAUUUUAGUCUAUUUAAUUCAGUAUUUAGCUUUAACAAGGGAGUGGUCAGUAUCAGACAUGUUGGAGAGCAGACCAUCUAUGUAAUAAUAUGCAAGGAAUUUCCUAGCUCGUAUCAAUAAGUCACUUGUACUGUGAUGGGUGAGUUUUUGAUUUUUGUUUUUAAUUUAAUAUAACUACCAGUCUUCUGUCUAUUUGAUAUGGCUGUUGAGAAGAGGCUGAGUUACGUUCCUGUGCCUAGUCUGGGAUCUCUUCUUGUUUUAUUUAUUAGCCAAAACACAUUACCUUAAACUGAUUAUUUUGUGCUGCUCUCUGAUAAAGUAACUUUCUACAGUUUAUUAUAUUAAUAUGUGUUGACUGGUUUCUGGUUUUGCCUUAAUUUCAGCAUUGCCAAUGUAAUUUUAAGAUUAUUUUAAGAACGUAUAAUCUCACAAAAUAAAAGAUGUUAAAAUUUAAUUUAUGUUUUCUCUUUGGCUUGAUGGUACCUAUUGGCAAUGAACUCCCCUAUGUUAUGUACUAUGGGAACAGAACAAAUUUAUUAACAGCUUGAAUCUUGCUCUUUGGUUUUGCUGAAAGUCCACUAAGACGUGAAAGGACAUGGAAUAUUUUUGUACCUUUGUGCUUAUUACUUUGACUCCCCUCUCUCCUAAAAUGACUUUUAAUAUCUCUUGUCAAUAAUUUCUAUAUUUCUUUGAAUAUAUGUGUAGUUCUAUUGUUUGAAACAAGAAUGUGUUUUAUCCUCCCCAGAAACUACCUGAAAGGUGGUGUCUAGUCCAAGAUAGUAAUUUAGGAUCUCUCAGUAGGAAGACUGAAAUCUAUGGAGAAUCUCACUGCACUGUAAGAUGAGUGUUUGAAAUAAAUCAGACAAUU